GGGGGCGUGCUAUACAUGCAGUCGAGCGGACAGAUGGGAGCUUGCUCCCUGAUGUUAGCGGCGGACGGGUGAGUAACACGUGGGUAACCUGCCUGUAAGACUGGGAUAACUCCGGGAAACCGGGGCUAAUACCGGAUGGUUGUUUGAACCGCAUGGUUCAGACAUAAAAGGUGGCUUCGGCUACCACUUACAGAUGGACCCGCGGCGCAUUAGCUAGUUGGUGAGGUAACGGCUCACCAAGGCGACGAUGCGUAGCCGACCUGAGAGGGUGAUCGGCCACACUGGGACUGAGACACGGCCCAGACUCCUACGGGAGGCAGCAGUAGGGAAUCUUCCGCAAUGGACGAAAGUCUGACGGAGCAACGCCGCGUGAGUGAUGAAGGUUUUCGGAUCGUAAAGCUCUGUUGUUAGGGAAGAACAAGUGCCGUUCAAAUAGGGCGGCACCUUGACGGUACCUAACCAGAAAGCCACGGCUAACUACGUGCCAGCAGCCGCGGUAAUACGUAGGUGGCAAGCGUUGUCCGGAAUUAUUGGGCGUAAAGGGCUCGCAGGCGGUUUCUUAAGUCUGAUGUGAAAGCCCCCGGCUCAACCGGGGAGGGUCAUUGGAAACUGGGGAACUUGAGUGCAGAAGAGGAGAGUGGAAUUCCACGUGUAGCGGUGAAAUGCGUAGAGAUGUGGAGGAACACCAGUGGCGAAGGCGACUCUCUGGUCUGUAACUGACGCUGAGGAGCGAAAGCGUGGGGAGCGAACAGGAUUAGAUACCCUGGUAGUCCACGCCGUAAACGAUGAGUGCUAAGUGUUAGGGGGUUUCCGCCCCUUAGUGCUGCAGCUAACGCAUUAAGCACUCCGCCUGGGGAGUACGGUCGCAAGACUGAAACUCAAAGGAAUUGACGGGGGCCCGCACAAGCGGUGGAGCAUGUGGUUUAAUUCGAAGCAACGCGAAGAACCUUACCAGGUCUUGACAUCCUCUGACAAUCCUAGAGAUAGGACGUCCCCUUCGGGGGCAGAGUGACAGGUGGUGCAUGGUUGUCGUCAGCUCCUGUC
rnacentral:rRNA from 1 species